CCGUUCCCCAUUCUCCCAUGGUGGCCACACCCUCACUCCACAGUCGGCGCCGGCGCUCCCUGGUCUGGCCGCUACUCACCUUCGUCACCACCGUCGGUGCUUCCUGGUCAGACCGCGGCUCCCCUUCGCAGUCGCUGCUCUUCCUCCCCUUCAUGUCGAAUCGCUCGCGGGGCCGAGGAGGCCCUCGAGCUCGGCAUGCUCGCGCCAGCGAUAGGCGCCGCCGGAGGUGGACGCGGAGGUGUGGCACUCGCUCGCUCCUGCUCUACCCUGCACCUUCUCCGAAUCCGUUCGCCGAAGUGCUCGAGAAGGCGUUCGAGGUCAGCAUGCUAGCCGACGACGCCGGGCCCCUCCCUCCUCCGGAUGCCCUCGCCGUCGCCGCCAUGAGCCUCUCCACCCUCUCUUGUGAGGUCGUCCGGGUCCAGAUUGCUACACCUUCUGGUUGUGAGUGGAUCCAAGAGUUAACUUGAUACAUUAUCCUUUCAAAAGAUGAUAGAUUAUCUUCAUGAAAGAAAGGAAGUUGGAAAAUUAUUAUUGAAGAGGAAUUCAGUGUCAUGGGUUUCUCAAGAGCUAAAAUGGAACAAGAAGUGCAAAACUGGCAAUUCUUUUUGUAAUACUAUUAAGCUCGUCAUGGUGGUUACCAUGAAUGAGUGUCUGGUUUAAUCUUUAGAAAAUUUCCCGAGGGAGGAGAAGGAGGUGCCGACAGGGGAUGGGAGCAACAAGUAUAAUUCAAAGAAUCCCCUUAUUGGACCACAUUCAGUUGUGGGCCCUGCUGUUUGACAUCCAUGGUGAUGCUGAUGAUGAUCUUGGCAAGGGUAAUGCUUUGAUUUCAUAGACAUGUUGCUUUGAUAGCUAGAGAACUAAUUCUCAAGAGGACUUUGUGAUUUAGUGUUCGUAUGAUAUUUUUUAGUUGGGGCUGUUUUUUUCAUGGAUUUUCUCUGUCCACUACAUCAUGAAUCUGGUAAUAUAAAAGUAAUAUCUAUUUCUGAUUAUGUAAUGACCGACUGUUAUCUUGCUUCUUACUCAUGUAUCUUCAGAUUUUAUGUAUUUGCCUGGGGUCUUGGUAUGUCCUUGAGCACGCAUGAGGUAUGUAUGUAUCUGUUGGUAUCUUAGUGCGCUUUGUUGUUUCAGAGUAGCACUCUAUAAUUUGGCACAUGCCUAUGCGUGUAUAUGCACGUACACCAUAGGUCCGAGCUGAAACUAAUUAUGAUUAAUUUUAUCGUUCUGUGAUGUGCGCUCAUUAAUACCAUUGGCACCUUUGUAAAUUCUAUAAGCUAAAUCCAAUAUUUCAGGUGUUCUGCGAGAACUCAAGUCACCUUCGUAAGUUCUAAAAGCCAAAGAGAUAGGGUGCAUGAUUCAGUUAGUUACAAAAUUGCAGCAGCCAAAACACUAACCAUGUUCCACAUAGAAAACCAUUAAUUACAGAUAUAAAACGAACGGCUUAUAGCAUUGUGCUGUGCAACUGUUUGUUUUUUAGAACUCUAUUUUGAAAAUUCUAAUCCUGUAUAAUGCUGCAACAGGUCAAACGAAGAAGUUGAACCUAAAGAAGGGCAGGGAAGAAUUACAGCUUCGUGUGGCCGGCUGGUUCAGGGGACGUGCAGGGCGGGCGCGGCACCGGGUGCCGGGGUAGGCUCCUGGGCACUGGCUAUCUCGCGGACGGGCCACACGGCGAGGGCAGGGUCGUGGGCGCCCGCUAUCUCGCUGAUGGAUUACACACUGUGAGCGGCAACAAUCGGCGGUGGCGAUUGUGCAGGGAGCGACUGAGCGGCGCAGGGCUCACGAGGUAUCGGUGCAGGCAGGAGACGGGGUUGGUGGGAGGCAUCGAGGUCAAGUCCGAGGGGAGCUGAUUUAGUUGAGUUUCCGUAUUAGUUUGCGAUCACAAUUGCGUGAUUGCAGGGGAUGCGGGCUGGUAGUUGGAAUAUUCCUUCGGUGAUGGAGUUUGGUCAGUCAUGAGAAUUUGCUAAGUGCACACCGUGGAGGCAUUAGAUCAAUAAUGACUGUUGGAUUGAGAUUUGUGGGACUAAUUGUAUGGUGCUGAUUGGUUCGUAUGUUUUAUGGAACUAAUUGCUAGGUGUACA